CUUGGACUCGUUGUCGUUGAGACCGGCCGCCUCUUCCUCCGCGGCUUUAGCCUUUUAUUCUUGGAGAUUUCCUUUCCUCUUGUCCUUCUCUCACGACAAAGAAAGCCGAAAGCGUAAGGGAGAGAUCGAUCGAUCGACGAUGGGGGGAGGCAACGGUCAGAAGUCCAAGAUGGCGCGGGAGAAGAACAUGGAGAAGAAUAAAGCCCCCAAGGGGAGUCAGCUGGAAUCCAACAAGAAAGCCAUGACCAUCCAGUGCAAGGUGUGUAUGCAGACAUUCAUGUGUACCACGUCAGAAGUUAAGUGCAGAGAGCAUGCUGAAGCGAAACAUCCAAAGUCAGAUGUGUACCAAUGUUUCACCCACCUCAAAAAAUAGAAAUUGGACAGUGAUCUUUCUAAGUUGACCAAAGUUUGGCAGGAAGAUAGCUUUUUAUUUGGUUACUGACCUGUUUGAUAUGGAGCAACAUGCAAGAACAAGAGAAGACAGAUGAACCUGAAGAUGUUUUUGGUUGAAAGUUGAUUAACAUGAAAUCCAGACAGAAAUAACUCGAACAAAAAAAAAAAAGAAACAUUUGGUCAUGUUAAUCUAUUUCAUUUCUUUCAGGGUUUGUAUUGUUCGGUUGAAGUGAAAGCUUUAGAAAAGCAUACACUUCCCCAUUCUUCCACGACUUAAAGAGGUCUUGUGCUUGCCAAACUGGCAUGAAUCUGAAUACACUCCUUUUGUUGAUAUAUGAUGAAUUCACCGAUACUGCUCGAUCGGGAUUAGAAAGUUAAUGGAUUGGUUACUUUCAGAGGUCGGGGUCCUGAAUUAGUUCACUGCAGUUGAUAGAUGAUGAAUUUGCCAAUAGGAUUAGAAAGUAAAUGAAAUGGUGACAUUCACUGUCUGGGGUGCUGAAUUCAUAUUUACUGCUGCAAGUCGAACUCAGCCUCCUAAUUUGCUUGGAAUUUAGCCAUUUCUUUUCGUAGUUCUCUUUUCUCCCGUUACCAGUACAAGAGAGAGUCCGUACCAAAGCAACGAUAUGCUGCUGGAGAGAUUGGGUUGAGUCCGGUGGGCCCUCCAUUCUGGUCCUCUCGCAUGUGAGGCCAAUUGUCUCCGACGUGAAUGAACGUUUACUCUAAACACGUGAAUUGUCCUCGUGUCGUUACUGUUUAUAGACUGCUUUUGAAAUAAUUCUGAGGGGUGGAUGCAGAGCUCCGUCUACUUUUAUUGGAGUGUGGUGAAUGUAAUAUAUAAACCCAGUUUUGUAGGAAUGCUUCCGCUGAAAGAUGCUCUUUUGCCAUUA